UACGGAGGGUGCAAGCGUUAAUCGGAAUUACUGGGCGUAAAGGGUGCGCAGGCGGCCCGGCAUGUCAGGCGUGAAAUCCCCGGGCUCAACUUGGGAAUGGCGGUUGAAACUACGGGGCUGGAGUGUGGCAGAGGGAGGUGGAAUUCCACGUGUAGCGGUGAAAUGCGUAGAGAUGUGGAGGAACACCGAUGGCGAAGGCAGCCUCCUGGGCCAACACUGACGCUCAUGCACGCUGGCGUGGGGAGCAAACAGG
rnacentral:rRNA from 1 species